GGCCUGGUGGUCUAGUAGUAUGAUUCCUUCUUAGGGUUGUCCCAGAAUGGAGGAGGUCCCGGGUUCAAUUCCCGGCCAGGCCC